CCUACGGGUGGCAGCAGUGGGGAAUAUUGCACAAUGGGGGAAACCCUGAUGCAGCAACGCCGCGUGAGCGAUGAAGGCCUUCGGGUCGUAAAGCUCUGUCCUAAGGGAAGAAUACUGACGGUACCUUAGGAGGAAGCCCCGGCUAACUACGUGCCAGCAGCCGCGGUAAUACGUAGGGGGCUAGCGUUAUCCGGAAUCACUGGGCGUAAAGGGUGCGUAGGCGGCCAAUUAAGCCAGGGGUGAAAGGCUACGGCUAAACCGUAGUAAGCCCUUGGAACUGAAUGGCUUGAGUGCAGGAGAGGAGAGUGGAAUUCCCAGUGUAGCGGUGAAAUGCGUAGAUAUUGGGAGGAACACCAGUUGCGAAGGCGGCUCUCUGGACUGUAACUGACGCUGAGGCACGAAAGCGUGGGGAGCGAACAGGAUUAGAUACCCCAGUAGUC
rnacentral:rRNA from 1 species